rnacentral:rRNA from 1 species
UACGGAGGGUGCAAGCGUUUAAUCGGAAUUACUGGGCGUAAAGCGCACGUAGGUGGUUUGCUAAGUCAGCUGUGAAAUCCCCGGGCUCAACCUGGGCACUGCAGUUGAAACUGGCAAGCUAGAGUAGGGUAGAGGGGUGUGGAAUUCCAGGUGUAGUGGUGAAAUGCGUAGAUAUCGGGAGGAACACCAGUGGCGAAGGCGACUACCUGGCCUGUUCUUGACGCUGAGGCGCGAAAGCUAGGGGAGCAAACGGGG